AAGAGACCCCAAGGAUCAUCUGGUCCAGCUUUUCUAGCUCAAGCAAAGUACCUGGUCAGGGCAGCGAAAGCCCUGCCUGGGUCAGUGCAUGCUGGAGCUGAAGAGAAACAAUGGAGGGAAUCUUCCUGGUUUAUUGAGGACAGGAGCAUCGGGAGGCUGGGGUGCCAGGGAUACGAUGCACAGAGGAGCUGAAGCAUCCUGAGGCGGCACCGCGGCGGCGGGAGACCUGUGAGGAAAGACAAGGAGCAUCUUCUCUGCGUCAGGGCAUGCGUAUGCCAGGUACCUUCCCAUCGGCUGGGACAAAUCCAGACCUGGAGGAGAGGCUUGUUCCGCCCAGAUGGCCAGCAAACAGCUCGGGGAUGAGUGACGAGCAGCUCCCCGCAUCUUCCUGCUGCCCCACCAUGGAAGGAGACACCAACAUCUCGGUCUCUGGCUGCCCUGAGCACUGGGUGGAGCCGCAGUUCACGCGAGCAGCGCUGGUGCGCGUGGUCGUCACGGCCAUCUUCUUCUUGCUGGCAGCAGGCAGCAACGCGGCAGUGCUGGGCAGCCUGCUGAGGAAGAGGAGCAAAUCCCACGUGCGGCCGCUGAUCCUCAGCCUGGCACUGGCCGACCUGCUGGUGACGGUGGCGGUGAUGCCCCUGGAUGCAGUGUGGAACGUGACGGUGCAGUGGUAUGGUGGGGAUCUCUCCUGCAAGCUUCUCAACUUCCUCAAGCUCUUCGCCAUGUACGCGGCCGCGCUGGUGCUGGUGGUCAUCAGCCUGGACCGGCACGCGGCUGUCCUCCGUCCCUUCUCCCGCGCGCGCCGCCGCAACGGGCUGCUGCUCCGUGCCGCUUGGGUUGGCAGCGUGCUCCUGGCUUUGCCCCAGCUUUUCCUGUUCCACCUGCACACAGUCCCAGGAGGGAACUUCACCCAGUGCGUUACUCACGGGAGCUUCCGAGCACACUGGGAGGAAACCAUCUACAACAUGUUCACCUUCACCACCCUCUACAUCACCCCCCUCAGCGUCAUGAUUAUUUGCUACAUCCGAAUCAUCUGGGAGAUCAGUAAGCAGCUAAAGGUCAACAAAGGUUUGAUAACAACUCAAAAUGACCACAUCUCCAAGGCACGCAUGAAGACUCUGAAGAUGACCAUAGUGAUUGUUGCCACCUUCAUCAUCUGCUGGACCCCAUACUACCUCCUGGGCUUGUGGUACUGGUUCCAUCCAGCCAUGAUCCAGAAGAUGCCAGAGUACAUCAAUCACAGCUUCUUUCUCUUUGGCUUGCUGCACACAUGCACUGACCCCAUCAUUUAUGGGCUGUACACCCCCUCCUUUCGGGAGGACCUGCAGCUGUGCCUCAGGGGCAUUGAAACUGCCAUUACCAGGCACAAGAAGCACAAACCUGUCUCAGUCUCAUGGAAGAACAUCAAAGAUGGUGCUGUAAAUGGUGGGGUGGCAUCAGGGGGUUCCAAUGGUACAACAGUCAACACAGUUUGCUGAAGAGAUGUACCCAGAAGAAGAUGGGAGACACAGCUUUGGGGGCUGCUUUGUCCCGAAGAAUCAUUCUGGAGACUGUCAUGAGGAGUUGCAGUGCUGGACUGCGUGCAUCUGCCACGAGGGCCCCUGCCAUGCUUUUCUCUCUGGAGCAGCUGGUGCACAAGAUCAGUCUGGGAACCUGCUCCCUAAACGGAUGCUGUUGCCUCACGCUGUGGGAAGAGAGCUCAGCUGAAUGGCUUAGAGCCAAAUAAACACCCAGACAGGUAUCAGGAGAUAUCUGCUGGCUGCAUCUUGCAUCCAUUCCUUUUGCUUACUCUUCAGAAACCUUUCUGUGCAAAGAAACUGAGAGGAGAGCCUCAAAUCCCUGCUGCCUUCUUCCCUAUCCUCUCCUUUCCACUAGCAGAUCCUAGGUUUGUGCCUUUCCCCGUGGUGUGAACAGACAUCCCACAAGUGCUGUCUGACAUCCUCCUUCCCCCACAGCUCCCAGAAGAUGUUUUCAGAUGCACAAGCUUUUCAACAACACAAUAUCCUUUUGACAGCGUCAAAUACCUCUAAGUUUUCUAGGUGGUUCUAUCCUAAGCUGACAUGUGUGGCACAACAUCGUGUAUUGACUCAUAGGAUCUUUUUGGCUGGAAAAGAACUCUAAGAUCAUCAGGUCCAACCAUUCUCUAACUCUACCAAGUCCAGUGCUAAACCAUGUCCCUCAGCAUCACACCUCUUCCUCUUUCAAACAGCUCCAGGAGUGGGCAUUCAACCACCUCCUUGGGGAGCCAGUUUCAGUGUUCAAGAACCCCUUCAGCGAAGAAUUUUCUUCCAGUAUCCAACCUAAACCUCCCCUGGUGUGCCUCGAGGCCAUUUAUUCUCAUCCUGUCACUUGCUACAAGGGAGAAGAGACCCAUUCCCACCUCUCUACAACCACUUUUCAGUUGCUGAGGUGGACCAAAAAUGGACAAACACUCCCAGGAAGCCCACACAGAUCUCAGACCCCAAGUUCCUGCAUUGGAUUACCAAGAAGCAAACUACUAUGAAGUAGUCAAAUCUGCUGUGCAACAAAUGGUUAGUUUAUGUAGAUUCUAAUUGCCAAUCAACACCAUCAUUAGCACAUACAUUUCUUGGGCUGAGAUAUGUGUGGGCUUCCUGGGAGUGAGCAUUAUUAACGGACUGUAAAAGGCAAUGGGGAAUGGGAUCAUAAUGCUCUUGUUUUGCAAGCUGUAGGCUGAAUGCAUAAACUUGUUCUGGCAGCAGAAUUAACUGCAAUAAAUGCCUCUAGCUGCAUCCACCAAGAGGGGCUGCUCUAAACCAACUUCUUCUCAGUCUUGAGUUAGAGAAACUGAUUACCAGGUCAUUAUUUCUGGCAGUUAGGUACCAGAACAACAUCAGAGGAGGAAAGAAAAAACUCUUUUCUUUGAAAUCUUUAAUGAGUAAAAUAGUUAAUUGCAGACUCAUUCACUGGAAAUACGUGAUGAGAUUUCUGUUUCUUUGUGGGUAGGAUUCCCUCUGCAAUAAAACUCUGUCUUUAUCAAGGCUGCUACUACCAGUUACACAGCAAGCCUGAGUGGUGGCACACAGCUAGCUUUUCUUUGCCUGGAAUCCCUAGGCUCUGCCUCAUGGAAUUGUUUUGGUUGGAGGACAUCUUUAAGAUCAUAGAGUCCAAUUGUUCAUCAUUGAUGAAGUUGGUUCAGUUGCCCCCAGUGUCAUUCCUGUGGUUUUCAGAAGUGUUUAUGGCAACAUGAAGCUGGAAAAGAGUAAGAGAAUGACUGCACUGAAUCUUGUUUUCCAUCUAUAUGACAGAACAUUUGAGAGGGAAAAGGCUGGGACAGGCUUAUCCCAUGCCUGGUCAACAAUCACACAACUCUUUACUCCUUCUUUGGUCUCAGGUAGUUGCAGGUUGUUUGUAACAACAGCAAACGCAAAGGACUUCAACAGGAAGGUGAGAGUUCACCUGUUUAUGUUGCACAAACCUGUAUGUGUGUCUCCCAACAUACCCCCAAAACAUCCUUCUUCAAGAUUAGAAAUGAUGGAUUGGAGAGAUAUUGAAGUUUUCCACAGCAGUAUUAAGCCAAAGCACUUCACAAGCAGUGGAACUGCUGUAAUCAUAGAAUCCCACCAUGGUGGAGGUUGGAAGGGACCUCUGGGGAUCAUCCUCUCCAACCUCCCUGCUAAAGCAGGGUCACCCAAAGCAGCUUGUCCAGGAUCACAAUGUCCAGGCAGGUUUGGAAUCUCUCCAGAGAAGGAGACUCCACAACCUCCCUGGGCAGCCUGCUCCAGGGCUCCAGCACUCUCCUAUCAAAGUUUUUACUUUAUGUUUAGGUGAAACUUUCUGUAUUAACAGUUUGUGCCUGUUGUCCCUUGUCCUCUUGCUGGGCACCCACCCUCUUAACCUCCACCCCUUAGCUCUUGCUGAGCACCCACCCUCUUAACCUCCACCCCUUACCUCUUGCUGAGCAUUGAGAAGAUCCCCUCUCAGGCUUCUCUUCUCCAUGCUGCACAGCCCCAGGUCUCAGCCUUUCCAUCUCACAAAGAUGCUCCAGGCCCCUCAGCAUCUUUGUAGCCUCUGUUGACCCUCUCCAGUAGUUCCUUAUCUCUCUUGAACAGGGAAUCCCAGAAAUGGACACAAACAUGGCCUCAUUAGGUCAGAGUAAAAGGGCACAGGUUGUCAUAUGGAGGUCCAUGUGAAGUGUACUACAACUUCACAGACAUACAAUACAACCCUACUGGCUCUGCUGCCAUUUUACUCCAUUUUCCAAGUGUUUCAUGAGAUAUUUGGCACAUAAUUGCUGGUUAGUCCAUUUGCUUCAGUAAAGGAAGGCUGAAAACAAUCAAUACCAGCAAAAAUGCUGAACCAGAUCCCAAAAUCCCAAAAGCCUGUCAGGUGGCAGCACAGGAGAAAAACUUCACCCUCCCUCUUCUUGGUGCAGAAAACACAAGUUUGAUAGGAAUAAUCCCUACUUAGUAUUGAUGUUAAAGGGCUGGAGUAUGCCUAAUCUGCACAGUAACUGCAGACAACAGAAUUCACAGGUGAGUGCACAAACCUUGUAGAUAGAGGGGAAAGAAUCCAUACUAAAAUCCAUUU